UUAAGUUCAGCGGGUAUUCCUACCUGAUCCGAGGUCAACCUUAUAAAAUGGGGGGUUUAACGGCAAGAACCCGCUACACUUCCUAAACGAGAUAUUACUACUACGCUCGGAGUUAUAGCGAGCCCGCCACUAGUUUCAGGGCCUACAUUACUGUAGGACCCCAACACCAAGCAGGGCUUGAGGGUUGAAAUGACGCUCGA
rnacentral:misc_RNA from 1 species